rnacentral:rRNA from 1 species
CGGAGCAUGCGGAUUAUUCGAUGCAACGCGAAGAACCUUACCAAGGCUUGACAUAUACGAGAACGGGCCAGAAAUGGUCAACUCUUUGGACACUCGUAAACAGGUGGUGCAUGGUUGUCGUCAGCUCGUGUCGUGAGAUGUUGGGUUAAGUCCCGCAACGAGCGCAACCCUCGUUCUAUGUUGCCAGCACGUAAUGGUGGGAACUCAUGGGAUACUGCCGGGGUCAACUCGGAGGAA